rnacentral:rRNA from 1 species
UAACACGUGAGCAACCUGCCCCUGACUCUGGGAUAAGCGCUGGAAACGGCGUCUAAUACUGGAUAUGAGCUGCGACCGCAUGGUCAGCAGUUGGAAAGAUUUUUCGGUCUGGGAUGGGCUCACGGCCUAUCAGCUUGUUGGUGAGGUAAUGGCUCACCAAGGCGUCGACGGGUAGCCGGCCUGAGAGGGUGACCGGCCACACUGGGACUGAGACACGGCCCAGACUCCUACGGGAGGCAGCAGUGGGGAAUAUUGCACAAUGGGCGAAAGCCUGAUGCAGCAACGCCGCGUGAGGGAUGACGGCCUUCGGGUUGUAAACCUCUUUUAGCAGGGAAGAAGCGAAAGUGACGGUACCUGCAGAAAAAGCGCCGGCUAACUACGUGCCAGCAGCCGCGGUAAUACGUAGGGCGCAAGCGUUAUCCGGAAUUAUUGGGCGUAAAGAGCUCGUAGGCGGUUUGUCGCGUCUGCUGUGAAAUCCCGAGGCUCAACCUCGGGUCUGCAGUGGGUACGGGCAGACUAGAGUGCGGUAGGGGAGAUUGGAAUUCCUGGUGUAGCGGUGGAAUGCGCAGAUAUCAGGAGGAACACCGAUGGCGAAGGCAGAUCUCUGGGCCGUUACUGACGCUGAGGAGCGAAAGGGUGGGGAGCAAACAGGCUUAGAUACCCUGGUAGUCCACCCCGUAAACGUUGGGAACUAGUUGUGGGGUCCAUUCCACGGAUUCCGUGACGCAGCUAACGCAUUAAGUUCCCCGCCUGGGGAGUACGGCCGCAAGGCUAAAACUCAAAGGAAUUGACGGGGACCCGCACAAGCGGCGGAGCAUGCGGAUUAAUUCGAUGCAACGCGAAGAACCUUACCAAGGCUUGACAUAUACGAGAACGGGCCAGAAAUGGUCAACUCUUUGGACACUCGUAAACAGGUGGUGCAUGGUUGUCGUCAGCUCGUGUCGUGAGAUGUUGGGUUAAGUCCCGCAACGAGCGCAACCCUCGUUCUAUGUUGCCAGCACGUAAUGGUGGGAACUCAUGGGAUACUGCCGGGGUCAACUCGGAGGAAGGUGGGGAUGACGUCAAAUCAUCAUGCCCCUUAUGUCUUGGGCUUCACGCAUGCUACAAUGGCCGGUACAAAGGGCUGCAAUACCGUGAGGUGGAGCGAAUCCCAAAAAGCCGGUCCCAGUUCGGAUUGAGGUCUGCAACUCGACCUCAUGAAGUCGGAGUCGCUAGUAAUCGCAGAUCAGCAACGCUGCGGUGAAUACGUUCCCGGGUCUUGUACACACCGCCCGUCAAGUCAUGAAAGUCGGUAACACCUGAAGCCGGUGGCCCA